AAAUUGAAGAGUUUGAUCAUGGCUCAGAUUGAACGCUGGCGGCAGGCCUAACACAUGCAAGUCGAACGGUAACAGGAAACAGCUUGCUGUUUCGCUGACGAGUGGCGGACGGGUGAGUAAUGUCUGGGAAACUGCCUGAUGGAGGGGGAUAACUACUGGAAACGGUAGCUAAUACCGCAUAACGUCGCAAGACCAAAGAGGGGGACCUCGGGCCUCUUGCCAUCGGAUGUGCCCAGAUGGGAUUAGCUUGUUGGUGGGGUAACGGCUCACCAAGGCGACGAUCCCUAGCUGGUCUGAGAGGAUGACCAGCCACACUGGAACUGAGACACGGUCCAGACUCCUACGGGAGGCAGCAGUGGGGAAUAUUGCACAAUGGGCGCAAGCCUGAUGCAGCCAUGCCGCGUGUAUGAAGAAGGCCUUCGGGUUGUAAAGUACUUUCAGCGGGGAGGAAGGGAGUAAAGUUAAUACCUUUGCUCAUUGACGUUACCCGCAGAAGAAGCACCGGCUAACUCCGUGCCAGCAGCCGCGGUAAUAGCCGGAGGGUGCAAGUUAAUCGGAAUUACUGGGCGUGCUGCACGCAGGCGGUUUAUUGUCAGAUGUGAAAUCCCGGCUCAACCCGAACCGCAUCUGAUACUGGCGUUUGAGUCUCGUAGAGGGGGGUAGAAUUCCAGGUGUAGCGGUGAAAUGCGUAGAGAUCUGGAGGAAUACCGGUGGCGAAGGCGGCCCCCUGGACGAAGACUGACGCUCAGGUGCGAAAGCGUGGGGAGCAAACAGGAUUAGAUACCCUGGUAGUCCACGCCGUAAACGAUGUCGACUUGGAGGUUGUGCCCUUGAGGCGUGGCUUCCGGAGCUAACGCGUUAAGUCGACCGUCUGGGAGCAAUGUGGCCGCAAGGUUAAACUCAAAUGAAUUGGAUUGGGGCCCGCACAAGCGGUGGAGCAUGUGGUUUAAUUCGAUGCAACGCGAAGAACCUUACCUGGUCUUGACAUCCACGGAAGUUUUCAGAGAUGAGAAUGUGCCUUCGGGAACCGUGAGACAGGUGCUGCAUGGCUGUCGUCAGCUCGUGUUGUGAAAUGUUGGGUUAAGUCCCGCAACGAGCGCAACCCUUAUCCUUUGUUGCCAGCGGUCCGGCCGGGAACUCAAAGGAGACUGCCAGUGAUAAACUGGAGGAAGGUGGGGAUGACGUCAAGUCAUCAUGGCCCUUACGACCAGGGCUACACACGUGCUACAAUGGCGCAUACAAAGAGAAGCGACCUUCGCGAGAGCAAAGCGACCCUCACAGCGCGUCGUAGUCCGAUUGAGUUCAACCCGACUCAAGGAAGCUCUGAAUCGUUAGUAAUCGUGGAUCAGAAUGCCACGGUGAAUACGUCUCCGGCCUUGUACACACCGCCCGUCACACCAUGGGAGUGGGUUGCAAAAGAAGUAGGUAGCUUAACCUUCGGGAGGGCGCUUACCACUUUGUGAUUCAUGACUGGGGUGAAGUCGUAACAAGGUAACCGUAGGGGAACCUGCGGUUGGAUCACCUCCUUACCUUAAAGAAGC
rnacentral:rRNA from 1 species